rnacentral:lncRNA from 1 species
UUUCUCUUUCUAGAGCUGGUGAGAGAGUGGUCGUUCAAAUCCUGACAAACUAUCGCAAUGUUCCCUUUUAAAGCACCUGAAUCCUGAAAACUCUUUUCUUAAUAUCUUUUGCAAAGACUGACUCACCACAUCAUUUUUUUCUAGACACUCACCUACUGCCCCAUGAAAGACUAGUACCGUUACAUGUGUCGACUCACCUUCUCCCCUCUGAGGUUCGUGACGCCUCUGAGGAGUAGGUAGCAUACCGUUAGGGUUACAAGAAAACCGGGCUCUAAUACUAGUUGUCAAACCCCACCCUAGGAGUCCCAGUCAAACCACUAGUUCAACCGAUGAGUCUUACUCAGUUUUUAACUUGAACCACACUCAACUCUAGGCUACUAAUAAAAACAUUAAGACAAGCAUUAACAGCUUAAACUGAACACUUCAAUAAAAUUGACAAACUAGGAUCCGAAAUCCCAAAACACAACAAAUCAAAAAGAGAUGCAACUCCAGUUUAAAAAUACAUAAAAAUUAUAUCCUCUAAUAUAUAAAAACCAACCAGCUUUCUCCCCUCCAUCAGCUCCAAUACCUGUGACUGAACACAUAGAUAUGCCAAGAAAAACAAGUCUAAUGGGGUUAGUGAUAACCAUUGAGUGGCUAAACUAGGCUCGCAUAAAACUGCAACUAUACUAAGAAAAUAGGGCAAGAAUCAAGUAAUGUGACUCUGCGGUCCUGUAGGGAUCAUCCUAUCAAUAGUCACCCCUAACUAGUAGCUGAUAGCCUCAUGAAGGAUCAUACCAUGAAACCACCCGUUGAUACCGUGUGAGCAGCAUCUGUACGCAUACUCCACACAUCUUGCAUGACCGUAGAAACAUCCUGGGGGAUUUUGCAAUCCAUGGGUGGGUGACCAACACACAUAAGGAGCUAAUCUAGCUAAAUCUGAAUUUUGUCCUAAGCAUGAACUGUGAACCACAGUUCAAAUGUCAUGAGCUUAUGCUCGAACUUAAACAACUACCUGUUCAGUAGAUCACACGCUACUGCACAGUGUAUGAGCCCGACUCUGUUUCAUAACCCAUGUAUAGUAGAUGACACGCUAUUGCACAGUCUUGAGAGCCCGGCUCCGAAACACAACACAUGUACCGUAGAUCACACGCUACUGUACAGUCCUGAGAAUCCGAUCAUCGCAUUCCUGACAAUCCUAAUUACAGUUAUAUGCUUAAGUCAAAAAGUAAUCCUAACCCUCACCUAUUAAGAAGGGAUGGCAUUUCUGAUUCUCACUUGACAUGAUUCCUCUCACUGCCACUAAUCUAUAGCUUCUGACCGUGCAUCAUUUGGAGUUUAACCAAUUGAGUUAUACUCCAUUUACUUGUAGCAAUCUGAAACUUGCUAGGACAGAAACGUGGCGCUAAUCCUCCAACUGCCUCCAUUACACUAACUGAUCCAAAACUUCUACUCAUUGACAAAACUAACCCAAGUCCUUAACUAUAAAACAUCCAAAAGUUCAAAGUUGCUAAAGGUCCUCAACGCGUCCUACACACCACCAAAGCCGUUGCACCCUUGCCGAACGCGGAUGGCGCCACCGCUACUGCUAUUCCUAAAGCUCCGCCUUGAAUCUCCUCAAUCUCCUCCGAAAUAGUGAUCGGCACCGCCACAACUCCAUCCUCGUUUGCCCUCGAUCGAUGGAAUUCAAAAUCCUCACCUCUUGGCGUCAAAACUAAUGGCAACAAGUAACUUACCCUGCUCAUCGUCUCAGUGCAUCACCAGUUAGAUCAUGGAAGGGAAGUUAAACCAUUCUCCCACUUGAUGGUAAUGGGGCCCAACUCCACAAUCUGAUCCAUCAUACGGCCCAAGGCCCACCUCAACUUUAAUUGGACUCAAGGCCAUAAUUUAAGCCUAGGGUGGCAGUCCUCACCCUUCACUUGAAUGGUUCAAGUCCUAUCCAGAGCUAUAAAAUCAAUCUAACGGUCUAGAAAUCUUCGAGUUCAUAACUAACAAUUCACAGGCUUAACCCCUCUUCUGAUGGACUUAGUCAACCCAAUAACUAUCUCGAGCCUUACAAAUCUUUAAUACUUGGUCAAUUGCUGAGUCAACUCAUCAAAUUAAUUAAAUUAAUUCAUUUUUCAACUUCCGACUUCUACUCAACGAGUAAGUUUUGAAUCAAAAAAAAUUUUAACCGAACCAAAAAUUGAGGUGUCACAAUUGUCUACAGUAUGCUUAGCUUAUACAUGUGAUGGUUAGACAGUUAUGUUCAUGUUUCUACUUGAUGAUGUGAAAUUCAUUAAACUAAGAUAAGUUGUUAAACUAUAAUAAGUCCUUAAAUUAUGAUAAGUCAUGUUCAUGAGAUCCAUGUUAUGGCAUGUCUUUUUUCCAGGAUUAAUGCUCCCAUUAUGUCCAUCAUAUUCAUGUUACGGUUAGGUAGUUAUGUCAUGUUAUGUAUUAUUUAAUGAUGUGCAAGUUGUACCCUCGAAUUAUGAUAAGUCAUGUCAUGUCUCCCUGAUAAGGGUUUAUCUCAUUUUCAUGUGAUCCAUGUUAUGGUUAAGUGGUUAUGUCAUGAUAUGUUGGGUUAUUACAUGAUGAUGUGCAAGAUGUGCCUUGAAUUAUGAUAAGGCUAGACUACUUCAAGGUUAGGGUGUGAUAUGUCUACAUGACUAGUGAGUAGUGAAUAAGUACACGUUACUUAGACAAGUAAUGUGUAUUAGAAACAUGUAACUUUCUGGCUAGACCACCACCCCCUAUGUUGUGAUCUCAUGGUACCGUCUGAUGGAUACAUACUCACGGACUCUCACGUUCACGUUUGGGCCGGUAUUGCCCCUCAUGUUACCGUCUGACUGAUACGUACUCGCAGACUCUCACGUUCAUAUUUGGGCUGAUAUUGCCCCAUGUUUCUCACGUUUGGGCCACAUUUUUCCCCUUAUGUUACCGUCUGAUGGAUACAUAGUCCCAAACUCUCACGUUCACAUUUGGGUGUUGGACUAGUUAGUUGAGUUGGGGGGGGACGUCCCGCUAUUGAAAGUUCAAGUGAUAAGAUACCUCAGAUAAGUUCAUGUACAAGUAUGUCAAGUUCAAGGGAUAAGAUAACUUAGAUAAGAUCAAGUAUAAGAUUCAAUGUUAUGUGUUUUCAUGUUCGCUAAGUGAUGUUGGUGAUAAUGACCACCUGAUAUGAUAUGUUCAGUGAUUGUCAUGUGCUGAUGUGUUGUGAUAUGUUCAAAUGUUUCUUAGAUGUGAUAACUAUGUGUUGGGAUAAAUAUUCAUGUAAUGAUGUGUUCCUUAUGUUCCAAUGUGCCAUGGAUUUGAUGACUAGUUGUGAUCAAUAUUCAUGCAGUGAUGUGUUCCUUAUGUUCCAAUGUUCCUUUAGAAUGGAUUAGAGGUUCAACCUUUGAUGAUGACUAUGUUACUUGCCAUGUUGAGUUCUCAUGUGUUAGGAUUACACAAAGAUGGAUACUAUAUCUUAUAUGCCUACUUAGCUAGUAUCAAUGAUGCCUUAUACAAUGAUAUGUUUUUGUCUUCCCUAUGUUCUAGCAUGAUACUCAUGUUAUGUGUCUACAUAACUAAGUCAGAAUAUGUUGUGGUUAGAUAACUAGAAAGCAUGUCCCUAAGUAAAGGCAAUGUUUGAAUAUAGCAAUGUCUGAUUAAGGUGAUGUCUGAAUAAGGUAAUGUCUGAUUAAGAUGAUGUCUGAAUAGUUUGAUGUCUGGAUGAGUUGAUGUUUGAAUAAUUUUGAUAUUGUUAAACUUAAGUUGGAAAUCAUAUGUGUUAUAUUAGAGCAUAAUAGACUAACCCCAGAACCACCCACUAGGGUGUUUCUAAGUUGAUGCAGUAGUAGAGUUGAGCUGAUUCGGAUGUGCAGCGAUGGACUUGGUAUUCAAUGUCGGGUUUGAGUUUCAAGUGUUUAUUCUGAGACUUGAUUCUUUUCAUGUUGUCUUAUGUUGGAGCACUCUCCGCUUUUGUUAAAGCAGAUGAUCAUUUUCUAUCUUUUUGGUUGUUCUAUUUAAAUAAAGUUUUUGAAAUUCCUUUGAGUUGAGUCCCUAUAGGGCAAUUUGGUUAUUAAAUAAAUAGAAAGUUUUUGGGGUGUGUCACAAGCGCCCGCGACAAAGAGUAAAACCUGCGACCAUUGUAUGAGCGCUAAUGGAUUUAUUCAAACGUUGUCGCAGUCCGCCUAAAACAAGAGCUCGACUGCGAUAAACAUAGUGAAUGACUACCCUUCAGCAGCCGAUCUCCACUCAUUCCACACAGCUUCAACUCUCCUCCCAUCUGAAAUCCUCCUAUUCCUCUCAAUUUCCUCCAUCGAUUUUCUCCUCUUCUCUUCUCCAAUUUUGUCACCCCGACUUCCACCCUUUUCUCGAAAUCGCCAAUAUCAGCUUACUGUUACUAACAAGAAGCAUAAGAGUUCGAUUUUGAUAUAGUUGUGUCGGGCAAUCGCAUUGUGUUUGAGUUGAAGAAUCAGGGGGUUAAACCUGUAGGUCCACUUCAUUCCUUCAUGGGAUACUACAUAAGUGAGUGUACAAGAAAUUAUGCUUACUACCCGGUCUCUCCAAUCGAAUGGAAGAAGUUGUCGCCCCAAUUGAAGACACGGGCUUGGGAGCAGUUUGUGCUAGUAAGUAUUAUUUUAGUUUUUUUAAUUAGAUAUAUUUUUGUAGUUAAAAUUGUAACUAGUUAGUGCUUAAUUGAUUUAUAUUAUAAACCUCUUUUCACAUUGAGGCGAAUGAGAUGGUUGAAGCUCGCAAAUAUUGGGAUCGCAAUGUUGGAAGACUGUUGGGGGAAGUCAAGGAUCACAAUUUGGCAAGCUUAGUUGAAGCAUGCACAAAUAAACCAACUCCCUCCAUAGUGGAUUAUGAAUAAUUCCUUGACAGGUUGUCCAAUGGCUGAUUGGAUAACGUACUUGUUGCGAGUUAACGACAAGUAGUUCGAGAUAGUACAUAUAUUUACAGAUUUCUAAUUGUAUUUGAUUGUAGUUUUUAAUACCGACUCAAGAACUUUUAUGUGCUUGAGUCAUAUCAAAUCAAGCCGCUCAAAUGGAAAACCAUAAAGGAGGGAGAAGGCCAUGUGAUACAUAUGUCAAGGAAACCAUUGAGAAGAUGGGUAAGCCACCUUCUCUACGCCAGAAGUUCAUAAAGUUCUUCCACUAACUAGAUGGAAGUUACAAAUCAGAACAUGGAAUACUUGUGGUGGUAAUGACUAGUUUCCAUAUAUAUAAUAGAUAUAGCUUUAAACUAGAAGACAAUAGAAUUAAUUGAACAUCUGUUAUGUAGGAGACUAUCAGCAACUAGAGCGGGAAGGAGCACCGACUGAGGUUGGGCCUAAUGACUCAUUGGCUCAAACACUAAACAAGCCAAAGCAUCGAGGCCACGUUCGGAUGAUGAGUUUGGGGUUUACCCCACAAUGGUAAUAAUGUUCAAUUUCAAAUUUGUUCUUUCUUGGGUCGUUAGUGUUUGUACCUUGUUUGGUGAUAUUUGUACUGUUUUUUCUUUAAGGUAUUUGGUGGUGCUAGCACUUGUUCAUCAUCAUCAUCAGCUCCUUCUGCCUCUGGGAAUGCAAGUGUGUCCUCAAAUGCUGCUCCUAGUGCUCCCCCUCCCUUACGAGAAGAGUUUGAUUGGAUGUCGUAGCAGAUGGCAUUGAUGUUGCAACAGUUGGCUACAAUGUAUUACAUGAUGUCGUCGGAGCUCGCCGGUGCUUUUACCUAAGUUUUGACUCCUGGGAUAGUUCCUGGUACUCCAUUCAAUCCAAGUCCUCUAUAUCUGUAUUAGGAGCCUAUGCAGCAGCAACAACCAUCUCAACAAUAGCAACAAGCUCAUGAGACCAAUCUUAUGGGUUACUUCCCAUUCUCUCAAGAAGCCAAAAAUCAGUUUCGCCUUCAUGGGAUGAUGGCGAAGCCUUUUCUUCCCUUCUUCAUACAUUAGAAAGAGUGAGUUUUAUAAUUAGUUUCUUGAAAUUUCAAUUAGAAUUCAUGUUUGUACUUACUUGUGUUUUUUAUGUUUAUAUAUAGGUCCCCAUUCCAGACACGAGGGAGCAACGAGAUGAUGAUGAUUGUUCGUAGUUGUAUUUCUAGUUAGUUCUAGCUCUCUCCCCAUCCCUAUUCCCAUAUAUUAUGUAGUAUUUGAAACUUCUAAGAUAGUUUCUUAAGAUAAUUUCUUAACGUUUGCAUAUUAAUGUUUGUUAUUGUAGUUUGGAAUUAUUACAUGAGAUGGUAAUUAUGGAAUUAUUAUGUGUUAUUAUGGAAACCUAAAAACUGCUCUAAAUUCUAAAAUUCUGCUCUAAAUUCUAGAACAUUGAAAAAGCUCUAUAACUGCAAAGGUAGAUCAAUUUGAAAGUGAUAGGUGGCACCAUACCAGAAUAGACACAUCUCCAGCAUUAUUGUAAUAGGCUAGUCGCAGGCCCUUUCUCGCAAGUGUUGACUACGAUUGGCCGGUCACUGGUAGCGCCUGUGAUAAAGCGCCUACAACCAGCCAAUCGCAGCCAACGGCUACGACAAGGCGAGCUUUGUCACAUCAAUAAUUGUCGCAUGCCUAUUUCUAUUUGUCGCAUGCACUGUAUGUAACCAUCCUUCUAUUUUAUGGCAGGCUGGCCUGCGACAUUGUUUUGUUUUUGCUUGUGACUGUUUUCCCUUUUUAUUGCAGUGUAAGUUAUACACUUUCAUGCAUUAUUACGUGUUGAAGAUGGAUUCUAACGUGAUUUUGAAAGCUCCUAGACCGAAACGAGUGACCAUUUAGUUUGAUUCUUUUAGUAAUGUGUAAAUGAAAAGUCUACAUGCUAAAUAUAAAUUCAUAAAUUUGUUCUCAAUAAUAAAAAGUUUACUAGUUAAGAAUAGUUGAAAUAUUGAUGGACGAUGUUAAGUUCAUCCUUCCAUAAAUUUAAUUCACAAACUUAAAAUGAUUCGUAAGUGAAAUGUUAGUAUUAAGACGUUCACAGAUGAAAACAACAAAGAUUGAACAUCAAACUGUAAAGAUAAAAAUAAACUGUAUCUCAUAUUAUUUGGAAUUAAGNNNNNNNNNNNNNNNNNNNNNNNNNNNNNNNNNNNNNNNNNNNNNNNNNNNNNNNNNNNNNNNNNNNNNNNNNNNNNNNNNNNNNNNNNNNNNNNNNNNNNNNNNNNNNNNNNNNNNNNNNNNNNNNNNNNNNNNNNNNNNNNNNNNNNNNNNNNNNNNNNNNNNNUAAUAUAAUACUCAUAAGUGGACAUAACAUAGACAUAAUCCACCUAUAAAGUGGACACAAUGAUUAUAUAUAUAAUUUUAUCAUAAUAUGAACAUAACAGUGACAUAAUUUACUUAUAAAUGUAACAUAAUAGUGAAUUAACAUACUCAUAAGGUGAAUAUAAUAGGGACAUAAAAUGUUCGUAAACCAAGCCUAAAAGAUGCCUAAUAAACUUAUAACUUAGACAUAACAUAGGCAUAAAAGAAUUGCAGUAGUACUGAUAUUUAGGUUAUGUAGCAUAAUAGCCUAAAACAAGUGGUCUACUCAAAACACUAAAAAUUGAUAUAUAAUCGUAAUAUAAUUGUUCUAUGACAGUUAUCCGUUAUUAACAUAGAAGUUGUACAAACAUAUUGUGACACCUUGAUUUUGGGUUGAGUAUGAUUCUAGGAUAGUAUUGGUUUUUGUGAGUCGGUGAGAAUCACUGUCAGACGGUCCGUCACGGGCGUAUCGGACAGUCUCUCAUAGGCGUGAUCAUCAGGUAGAUCAUGAUCGUGGUCAAUGAUAGUCACGAACGUGGCAGCCGGAGGAUGACGGCCGUGACCAUCAGUAGGUCAUGGACGUGGUUUCCAUGUCACAACGGGUGAGGUAAGCAGUACGCCAUGGGUGUGGUGGACAACUUAUGAAACCUAAUUUUCUUCUUCCUUGCAAACUUCUGACGAGCGACGAUUGUUCCAGGCACAGGGGAAAGUCUUGUUGAUCGAUCCAGACCAGUAGGAGAGGCCUAGAGAUCAUCGAGGAAGCUUUAGGAGGUAAUCUACCUUCUUCCUCGUUCGUCAAUCCUUUUCUUUGAAUCCCAUGUAGGAAAAUCCUGACAGGUUUGGAUUUGGAGUUUUGGGAUUUCAAUUUUAUGAUUGUUCCCUUCAGGUUAUAUGGAUUAGGCAAGCAAACUCUAGGUUUCAGAUCAUACUCUUCAGAGGAAAGCUUUCAGAGGUAGGGGUUAGGAUUACUUUUCUGCUUUAUGCGAAGAAUUGUAAUUAGUUGUCAGGAAUCCUUGUUUGGAUUUUCAGAAUUGUACAAUAGUGUGCGAUCUACUGUAUAGAAAGAUUUGUUAUGCAGUUUAGAGUUUCGGGUUGUACAAUAGCGUGUGAUCUACUGCAUAGGCAGAUGGUUAUGAUUCGAGCAUAAGCUCACAACGAGAAACUAUGCAUUUAUACAGUUCAUGUUAGGAUUAAGAAUCAGAACUAGAAUAUACUAGCUCACGAUAUACGUUGGUCACCCACCCUAUAGAUUGUGCGAUCCCCGAGGCUACAUUUACUUUCAGGUAGGACUUGACGAUAAUGCCUUCAGUUGCUGCUCUCACGGUCUGAUCCACCAUGAGGUCAUCCGCUCAUAGCUAGGGGUGGCUAAUGUUAGGAUAAUACCUAGAGGACCACAUGGUCACAUUACUAGAUACUAGUUCAGUUUUUCAUGUUCAGGGUCAGCUGCUCAGUGCUUAUCACUGACCUUGUUACAUUUCAUUAUACAUGAUCAACCUUGGGACUUCAGGAGCCAAUGCCGCUUAAGAAAGGAGCAUGAGUAGUGACACCACCUCGCAGUGAGUCUGGGAGUCACACAGAGAGGUACCAUCGAGUACCUCAGCUGUCUCUUUCAGUGUUUUCAUAGUUUUAAGACAGUCUUUCAUGUUUUUUCAGUUGUUUGUGAGACUUAUUUUACAGUGGUUGUUUUCCCAGGUUUGGGAUGUCUUUUAGUGAUGUUCAUUUUUGAAUUCGAGCCAUGAUGCUCUGUUUAUUUUUUGCUGUCGUUUUACUUAAGUAUUGAGGAUUUUCAGUUCAGUUAAUGUAUGUCAGUUGUUAUGAUAUAAGUUUGAGUGAACCCAUGAGCAAUGCAUGGAUAGAACCGUGUGGUUUGAUCGAGUCAUCUAGGGGUGGGUUUCACACAUAUUAGUUAUAUUAUGUGACAUUAUAAUAAAUAAUAAAGGGAAUAUUGUCAUUUACCCUCUUUUACUUCACCCAACUCGCAUUAAGCCCUCUAUACAAUUCAAUGUUCCAUUAACCCCUACACAUUGCCCACUUUACCAUUCGUCUCCUUCCGUUACGCUUUCCAUAUGUACACCGUUAAAACCAUACAACUCAACAUGCCAUGUAAGUUUUUCGGCACCACAUCAGCGUUUAAUUCCUUUAACAAUUCAUGAAAUAUAAAAAAUUCCAGACACCCUUCUUUCUUCACUCUUCUCCACUCGACCCCCAACCUUUCUCACAUCCGAUGCAGCCGAACUUCGCCCCGAGGGUGAACACAAGGAGAGGAGGGUUGCUAGAUUUUGGGUGUUGUUUUUGCACUCAAAUCCGAUUCAAAAGAAAUAUUGGCCACACUGGAAAAAAGUUAUGGUUUGAUCAUCCUCUAAACAUUCGUAGCAGUGUAAUUCAAGGUCUUAAAUUGGCUACCACUACCAAUUGGAAAGUGAGCAAGCCAAUUUGUAGCGAACACCAAGUGUUCAACAAAAUUCUUAGAUGCUAAAAGACUCUUACUGGCAUCACAAACACUUGACAAGGGUGCUAAGUCACUAUUUGACACCCCCUAACAUUCCAAUCACCUAAAUUGUCACUACCUAAGUGAUUACCAAAAUGCACUCAAGGUGUUAGAUAAAAUGCCACUAAGAGAAUCCUCACACUAAUGGUUGAAUUGGGGUGUGUGCUUGGUCCACACACCCUUACCCCAAUCUUGGACUACACACUUACUCAAGUCAAGCACAAUUAAGUAAUUGAAAGAGUACAUUUGACCUAGAACAAGCCAUAGCACAUUCUAAGUUGCAAUAACCAUAGUCCAACCAUUCUCAAAUACCAUAAUCCAUAUCUAACAUGUAUCCAAAUCCUCGUCAUGAGGGGAUCAUCCUAGUACAUAGCAAUACCCUAAUCUAACAACUAAAGAGUCUAGCCACUCAUCAUGACACUAAAACUAAAGAAAAGGGAUACAAUCACCAUCAAUCAACUAGUAUGAAGAAGAUGAUGAGGGUAGGAUCCUUCCUCAAAGCUCUACUAUUCCAAUUCCUUCAAUCCUUGGUCUUCUCUAGCUCCGAAGCUUCUUCAAGGUCUUCAAUUGAUCUUCUAAGGCUUCAAAUUGGGUGAAAAUCGAGAGAGGAGUCGGGUCUCAACAAUUGUUAUGACUGUAGUGUGAAUUGUUCGUCCAAUCUCCAUGGACCAUAUGCCAUGUGGACCAACACGGGCUCCAGAUGCCAUGUGGCCUAAUUUCCAGCUUAGGACUUUGUUCUUUGAUCGCACAUAUCUCCCUCGUCCGACCUCCGUUUGAGCUCUGGUUGGUCUCAUUGGAAUUUUCUCGUUGUUCUUUAUGCAUCGGAUACCUACAGCCUCAUAUAUACAAUGAGAAACGAGGUCGAACGGACCAAAAUGAUCCAUUUGACAAAAUGAAACAAGAACCCCUUUUUUUCUUCCAACCAAUCACAAAGGAGGGUCAAAACUAGGUCAAACAAGGUAAAAAACAGUCAAGAUGUGGUCAAAUUGGCAACAAAUAAUCGUGCUAUCACAUCCCCCCACACUUGAACGUUGCUUUUCCUCAAGCAAAUCUACUAAUCACACUCAAAGAGAACUCGAAACAGGGUGAAAAGAAAAUAUUUCCUAGCAUUUCAAGCCUAUUUCACGAUGCCAAGAUUGCAAGUCAAUCACCAAACCACUCAAUUAUGUAUAAGACAUUGAAUCCCUUAAAAAAUUUCACACCAAACUCUAAUAUAUAGAUAUUAUGAUUAGAUACCUAAACAAGCGAAUGUACUAAAGUUUCUCCAAUGCACUUAUGUCAUAUGGUACUAGCGGAAGAAAUGGACAGACAGACGGUCCUGGCUGGGUAUUUUUCCCGUCUUGAGGGAGGGGAUGCCUGAUCUAACAUAAACAUAACUAUCACCAAGUAUACUAGCAUCUCCCUCUUCUUUUACUCUACUUUGCUUUCUUUUGUAUUUAGUUUUCAACUAUCUUUUCUCCCUCUUUUUUUUCACAUGGAUGCUUUUUCCAAAUGAGGUGGUUGUGAUUCCAAUUAGGCUCAGAUCCGGUGAAUACCGGGCACCAGUACCGCAAUCCACACAUCGAAGGGUUGAGAAGAGGAGCCCGAGGUGUUGAGCAUACGAGUGGCAGAUCGAAAUCUACCUUGCGUGUUUGAAUCACAACCUUCCUCCAUAUCAUUCUUAAGCACAUUGGCCUCCUGUCCAUUUUGACUUCAUAAUACCAUAGACAAGUUCAAAAAGGAGAAUCAAUCAUACAUAUCGAGCAAGUAAAGGUGAAAACUCAAAACAUCCAUAUGUGCGAGUUUGAAGCAAACUAAUUUCAGGAAAAUGGGAGGUAGUCCACAAAUGAUUACUCAACAACCUAUUCGUCCUCAAGUAGUAUGAAUAAACUAGGUAUGCAUCCAAAGAGAUUCACAUAUUCAAAUUUGAGAGGGAGUAUCAAAAUUCAAGAGCAAGUCAGAAAAAAUGCUACCAAGAUAUGCACAAAAAUUCUCAAACCCGAAUAGUAUAAAAAAAUCCUCCCCCCCCCCACACUUGUACAACACAUUGUCCUCAAUGUGAAAAGAUAUAAGGGGAAGAGGGGUACCAAACGGGGGUGAGGAGUGAAGCCGGAUGAGAAGAUGAAGGAUCAAGAUCGAGUACCUAGAGUUUCACAAAAGGCAAGAACAAAAAAAAAACAAAAAAAAAACGCAGAAACAAACACGAAUAAUGGUCGAGUCAAGAGAAAAGAAGAUAUCUCAAGGCCGUCGAGGAGCUGUCUCAACAAGAAUCCAAUCCACUUAGGCAAGAGUAUACAAGAAUGUGCACAAGUAGAUAUGGAAGAGGCAAGAUGCAUAAGAUAUGCAUAACCAAUAAAGAAGAUAACUAGUUAUUCUCAACCAAGACUAACUAGCAAUCCUAAACAAGAGCAUCCUAUAAUCCAUAAAUGAGUAAGACAAGGGUGAGAAAAAGCUAUGGAACCAUCUCAACUCAUUUAGAAUCAAUUCCAGAAAGUUAUCAUCACAAACGUGUACCAAGUCCAAUCAACAAGAAUGAGCAUAAAGAGUGUAUGCAAAGCAUCAAGUGAACAAAGUAUGCAUCAUUCAACUAUAAUCAAUUUGAGAGCUCAAUGGACUACUAGUAUGCAUCAUUCUUCUUUGACUCAUUAACCAAAACAAUGAGCACAUAUGGAUAAUCAAAAGUAGUGGCAUGAUCAAAAUUCAAGCAUUAGAAGCAAUGAGCAAAGUCACAAUCAUCAAUUCAAUAAUUGGACGCAUCAAAUUCACCUAGCAACAACCUAGGUUCAACCAUACAAGGGAGCACAAAGAUGCAAUUCCAAAUUCUCAUCGCAAGAAUUCAACAACCCACAUAAUUCUUGUUCAAAAAUAUCAUAUUGGCAAAGCUAGACAUUCAAGUAGGCACAACCAUCUGAAACUGGCAAUUGCAAUGUUCAAAUUAGCACAAAAGCAUCAUUUGACCAAAUUUGACCACAAUUCAAACUUUCCACACACUCCAUCAAUCAAACCAGAGCAAACAGAACACAGACGACACAGAUUCAGGCCACAUCAUCAACCAAAAAGUCGUAGGCAGUCAAACGAGCUUUCCAACGCCGCUGGUCUUGCGAAAAACAAACGCUCGAGCAAGAAGUUAUGCUCAAAAUACCGAACCACAGCAUUUUUUCGCACAAGGCGACCAAUCAACGGAGGGUCAACGUCCGGUGAACCGGUCUGGUCAAACUCAGGUUGGUUCGGUUUGAAAAUCGGUUAAACAAUGCACCCCCUUCUUUGAAUAGUGCAUCUUGGCACAUUUUUAACACAAUCGAGCACGUUUCGGAGCUGGAAAUUCAAGUUUUUUUUUAGAAAACCCAUUGGAACUGUAGAUUUUGCAUAAAAAGUACGCUUUAGCCUUUUGUUUCCAAAAUCAAGCAAAUUUUAGGAUCUGAAAGUUCAAUUUUUUCAGAAAACCCGUAGGAAGUGUAGAUUUUUCAUAAAAGUAAGUCUGAGCAUAUUUUUUAGUAAAACAACCAUUUUUUAGCUCUCGAAAAUAUAAAAAUUUCAAGACUGCUUUUUUUCUUUUUCCUAAUGCAACGAAACUUCCUGCUAGCCUUAGGCACACUAAGAUAAGAUCAAGCAAAUCUCCAAACACUCGUUCUCUCGUCCCGGUCAUCACAAGAACACAAGAAACAAAAACACAAACAAAACACGACAAACACACAAUCAUGCAAGUUUUAUUCAAUUUUCCUACUCCUAAGCUACACUAUUCAUGACGAGACACCUAUGGUAUCACCAACUUGGUAAUGUUCAAGAUGCAUCCCACAAAGUAGAAGAGGGUCAAGAUGAGUAGAGGAGGUUACCUCGAUCUUGGAAGGAACGAACUUUUGUUACCAUAAAGGGGCCGGAGAUGAGGACUCUAUCGCCCUCUUUGAGUGCUUGUUUGGUGGGGAGGUGCAAAUCAUGGAGUUGCUUGAUCGCUUUCUUGCAACUCCCAUCCUUGACCUUGUGGACACUUUUUUGGUGAGAAGAAGGAUUCUUGGGCUCAAGGUCUGGUGGUUCUUCAUGCAUGUUCCUCGCCUUAGCAUGCACUCCCUUGAUCGAGAUAGCUUCGGUUUCCUUAUUAUACUAUUUCACACACUCGCUCAAGGAUGGAUCCAAGGCUUCAUGAUGAAGAGAUACAUUAAUAGCAUAAACUAAAGCCAUUUCAACGGGCUCGCCAAUAUCAUUAUCAUCUUGAGGAUCCGGGUGCUCCAUACCCCCGAUCAAUUGAAAUGUGGCUUCCUUUUGACCCACUCUCAAGGUAAGCUUACCCUCAAACACAUCUAUGAUUUCCUUCGACGUGUUGAGAAAUGGACGACCCAAAAUCAAUGAAACGUCGGUGUCUCCGGUGUCAAUCACAACAAAAUCCACCGGAAACAUGAACCUUCCAACAUGCAUAAUAACAUCUUCAACUACACCACUAAGCAAUUUUGUAGUUUUUUCCGCUAGUUGGAUGCACAUCUUAGUUGUUGUAAGUUGACCUAGGCCUAGUUUCUUGUACAAUGAAUAUGUCAUGACAUAUAUACUAGCACCUAGAUCUGCUAAACCUCUUUCAAUCACAACUUGACUAAUCAUGGAAGGGAGAAAGAAACUACCCAGAUCUUUGCGUUUGCAAGGGAGGUCCCUUGAGAGGAUUGUCGAGCAUUGCUCAUUGAGAUUGAUGUUGGAAGCUUCUAUGAGCCUUCGCUUGUUGGUGAAGAUCUCCCUUAGGAACUUGGCGUAUUGAGGCAUCCUUUCGAUUGCCUCGACGAAAAGAACGGUGAAGUUCAUAUUGCAAAGUCGAAGCACAAGUUGCUUUAAGCUCUUCUCGAGAAGAUCCUUAUCCAAUUGGUUGGGAUAAGGUGGCUUAGGGUUGUAUGGAGCCGACUGGGGCUAGGAGAUAGGAGAAGCCUCAGUUGAACUCUUCGUAGCCUUCUUGGAACCAACUUCAGUUGACACCUUUGGCUUUCCAUUACUCUUUGGAGCUUUCGGAACUAAUGCAUGCGGAACCGGUGCACUUUCUUCGACCAUCACUUCAUUCUCUUAAUCACUAGAUGCUUCAUUUUUCAUUAACAUCUUUCACAAGAAAUUCAUUAUCAUGCACAAGCUUGCUAGGUACAUCGAUAGGAGGAUCGAUUAAAUUUAGGAGUUGUGGACACAUAGUGUCUCAUGCUCCUAGUUGUGAUAGAUCCACAAGUUUCCUUGCUCUUUGGAUUGGUUAUGAUAUUUCUAGGUAGAGUGCACGGUUGCCGACUUGAAAGAGCGUGUGUGAGGUAUCCAACUUGAUUCUUAAGAUCCACCAUUUGAGCUUGAGUUGAGGCAUUGUGGGUGUCUUGAAAUGCUCUUUGCUCUUGAGUCACCUUGUUGUGCUCUUGGAAGAACUUAGCUUGAUUCUCAAUCAUUUGGUUUCCUCCAUUGAAGCUCCCUUGAACAUAAUCAACUUCUUUAAUGAAGUGCUCUUCCUCCGGUGCGAAAUCGGGAGCAAGGGAUUGGCAAGUAGAGGUGGCAUGCCCUUCGUUCCCAUAACAUUCACAAACAAAGAGUUGCACAACCAGUUGAUUCACCUUUGGUUCUUGUACCUCUUUCUUUUGAGGUGGAGUGGCGGUUGGUCUCACCACCGGUUGAGCCAAGGCAAGUGCUUUGAUUUGAGCCGCCAUGCCAUCCAUCCUUGAUAGCAUCAAGUGAACAAGAUGGUUGGGAUCUUCCUCCUUAUGUCCCGGCAUCUCCUUAAGGACCUUUGGAGCUUGAGUGCGAGUACAAACAUAAGGAUCUAUGCUCACCACCUUAGCUUCUAUAGGACCUUGUUGCCUAGACCAACUCUUCAUCUUCACCGCCAUUUCCCGGAAGACUUGAAGCCAUCAUUUGGCGAGGAGUGAUCUCAAGUCUCCUCCCGCCGCUUGAUUGGUCAUCUUGGUGUCCUCAUAAGUGAGUCCUCAUAAGUGAGUCCUCUAGCAAAGGUCUCCGCGAGUUUCCACUCAUUGAAGUUGAAGUUGUGAUGAGGGCAAGAGUAGAGAAGGGCUUGGGACCUCUCCCAAGCUUCAAAGAAUGGCUCUCCAUUAAUUUUCUCAAAGUUGGAGAUUCUACUUUGGAUCUCAUCCGUCUUGUAAGGCAGGAAGAAUUCCUCCAAGAAGGCCUUUGCUAGAUUGUCCCAAGCUUGGAAGGUAUUGUUUCGUUGGUUGUCGAGCCAUUGAUUUGCCUUCCAUUGGAGUGAGAAGGGAAGAGUCGGAGUUGAAUGGCUUCUUGCGACACAUGAUUGAACUUCAUUAGAUCCAUGAUCUCGAGAUAGCUACUUGGACAUUCGUGCUCGUGCCCAUGGUAUACGUUUUGUUGCACCAUUUGAAUGUAGUUGAACUUCAACUCGAAGUUCCGGUUAUCAAUAAGGGGUGGAGCACACUUGAAGAAGUACCUUCAAGAGUUGGCUUAGGUAAUCACCUAGAGUUCUUUGAGGUUCUUGAGCCAUCUCAAAGAUGUUAACAAAUUCAUCAGCCUCUCCUUUGCAAGAUGAAACAAUUGAUGAGUGAUCCAGGGUUGUUAAAGAAGUUGCGAUGUGAGGUGGUGGUGGUGCUUGAGGUGGAGAUGAGAUGAAUCUCUUUGGUAGACGCCUUGUACGCUUCAAUCUUCUCAUGCACUAAUAGUGCAUGAACGGAACCUACACAACAAAGCAAACAACCAAGGGAACACAACAAAGGAAUAAACACACAAGAAGGGGGUAGCAAUAAGUAAAAUGGAUUAGGUAGAAUGCCUAAAUCGGUGUCUAAUCUACUCUUUCAAGGGGGUGAUUACACUCCCCAACAAUGGCGCGAUUUUGAUCCUCUAAAAAAGAACCAAACAAACAUGAUCGGCUAAGAAAAGGGACUAAUCCCAAACCCAAGGUCUCAAGUGACAAUUUUCACGAGGAACAGACCACCAACCCUAUACUCAACUAUUAAAGACACGGUUUAAGCUCACAAAAGUUCAAAAUGCUAGUUCCUUAAAUUAUCCACUAAAGUACAUAUCAUUCACAAGAGUAAUUGGAACUAAAUUAAGCUAACGAACUAAGCAAACAAGAUACUAAAGAGGGUGAACACAAGGAGAGGAGGGUUGCUAGAUUUCGGGUGUUGUUUUUGCACUCAAAUCCGAUUCAAAAGAAAUAUUGGCCACACUGGAAAAAAGUUAUGGUUUGACCAUCCUCUAAACAUUCGUAGCAGUGUAAUUCAAGGUCUUAAAUUGGACUACCACUACCAAUUGGCAAGUGAGCAAGCCAAUUGGUAGUGAACACCAAGUGUUCAACAAAAUUCUUAGAUGCUAAAAGACUUACUGGCAUCACAAACACUUGACAAGGGUGCUAAGUCACUAUUUGACACCCCCUAACAUUCCAAUCGCCUAAAUUGUCACUACCUAAGUGAUUACCAAAAUGCACUCAAGGUGUUCGAUAAAAUGCCACUAAGAGAAUCCUCACACUAAAGGUUGAAUUGGGGUGUGUGCUUGGUCCACACACCCUUAAUCCAAUCUUGGACUACACACUUACUCAAGUCAAGCACAAUUAAGUAAUUGAAAGAGUGCAUUUGACCUAGAACAAGCCAUAGCACAUUCUAAGUUGCAAUAACCAUAGUCCAACCAUUCUCAAAUACCAUAAUCCAUAUCCAACAUGUAUCCAAACUCUCAUCAUGAGGGGAUCAUCCUAGUACAUAGCAAUACCCUAAUCUAACAACUAAAGAGUCUAGCCACUCAUCAUGACACUAAAACUAAAGAAAAGGGAUACAAUCACCAUCAAACAACUAGAAUGAAGAAGAUGAUGAGGGUAGGAUCCUUCCUCCAAGCUCUACUAUUACAAUUCCUUCAAUCCUUGGUCUUCUCUAGCUCCCAAGCUUCUUCAAGGUCUUCAAUUGACCUUUUAAGGCUUCAAAUUGGGGGAAAAUCGAGAGAGGAGUCAUAUCAUCAUACAUCUUAAUAUUAUCUCUAAUUGGGACCACCUCAAUAUUAUCUGCAACAAUCUCAUCCUCAGUGUCAACCUCUAUGGCAAGUAGCUGUUGUAACUCCGUUUCUGAAGAUGAUGCAACCACUCCACUAGAGGAGGCAUCACAAUGAACAGCAAACCUACAUGAACAAACUCUAUACGAUUGAGGUUACCAAACAAAUCACCCCACACUUAUCUUUUGCAUAAACCAAUAUGCAUUAAUCAAGCUGUAGAAAAAGAGAAGAGUGGGCUUAGAAGCAACUAUUGAACAUCUCAUCCAAAUAGGAAAUCUGUCAUAAUAAAGAAUACUCAACAUCAUUAAGGCAAUCCACGUAAGGUUUAGGGCACUUAGAAACUAUCCACAAAGUCACACAAACAAUGUAAGACAUGUAAAAUUUCAUAAAUUCUUAACCCAGAAAAAUACCGAGCAAAACUCAACAUUCCUAUGACACCUAAUCAUAUAAUUUCAAAGUGCAAAGGAUGUCAUUAACAUCCUAUAUCAUACCCAAUUGAAUUCUAGCAUCAUCAAUUUCACAAAACCUCAUAUUUGAAAUUUCAAGUUCUUCAAGCUAAUCAUCAAUCUCAACAAUUUAACCAAUCAGGGCAAAGUGAACAAGGAGAAACUGGGCAAAAUUCAAUGUAAACUAGCUCAAAACUCACUCAAAGUUGAUGAAAAACGAAGGGGGGAGAUUGGGGGAGGGUUCGGCGGUGACCGACAACGGUUCUAUGGUGACAGGAGUGCGGAGUUUUGAAUGACGGCAAAGGGGUAGGAGGGUGGAGUCGGCGUCAGUGGAAUGUUUGAAAAAAAUAUGGUUCAAAAAUCGGCUAAGGCUAGAAUAUUUAGAAACCCGUGUCAACUAUUGCAUUGUAGAAGUGUCAAAAAUGCGGUAUGGACAUAGCGCAAUGUUUGACAAAUCAUAGCGCAAUGAUUGAAAGGAUUUCCAGAACUCAAUGUCAACAUUUUUUCUAUAGAUGGUCAAUUAUUGCGCUAUGGGCAUAGCACAAUGCUUGACACAGAUCCAUAGCACAAAGGUUGACAUCCUAUUAUGUGAACUUCCAUAGUUCAUGAAAGAAUCAACACUCUUUGCAUUGACGACUGGGGACAAGAAUGACACUCAAGUAUCACGUUCUAGACUCGAUCUAACUCCUACACAUGCAAAUUGACUCAAAGAAUAUGAAAAAUACUGACUCCAGACAUGGGCUUCCUUCCAUGAAGCGCUCUUUCUUUAACGUCUUUGAGCUAGAUGAUACAAGGACCUCAAUUUAGCAUCUUCAAAGUAAUGAACUUUUACUCCAUCGGUAGGCUUGGUACUGAGAUAUAGCUUGAGACGUUGACCGCUGAAUUUAAUGUUCCUUGGUCCGGAUGUGUGAUCUCCACAAAUCGGUAGGGAAAUGAUUGUGUGACUUCAUAAGGUCCCGACCAUCUUGAUUGUAAUUUUCCCAAAAAUAGUCAGAGCUGGGAGUUGUAGAGCAGCACCUUAUCUCCCUACUUGAAUUCUUUGACCCCUUGAAUAUUAGCAUCGUCGAUUCGUUUCAUCCUUUCCUUAUAUAUACAUGAGCUCUCGUAAGUAUGAAACAUGUGCUCCUCUAGCUCAAGGAGCUAAUAUUUGCAUUCUGAAGCUACGAGACUAUCAUCCAUGUUUAGCAGCUUCAUGGCCCACCAUGCAUUAUGCUCAAGCUCGACCGGUAAAUGAUAAGCCUUUCCAUAAACGAAUCGAUACGGGAAAGUGUAGAUAGGGAUCUUGAAGGCGGUUCGGUAAGCCCAUAGAGCUUCAUCGAGCCAAAUCGACCUGUCCUUAUGAGACUGAUCGACUGUGCUAUCAAGAAUCUGCUUAAGCUCACGAUUCUUCACCUCCACUUGACCGCUUGCAUGUGGAUGGUAAGCGGUCAUCAAUCAAGGAGCUAUGCUAAAUGUUUGGCAAACUCAAUAGAAUUGACCCUGAAAGUGAGUGACUUUAUCGCUAAUGAUAGCAUGAAGGCCGCUGAAACGCAUGAAAACGCAUGUAAUAAACUUUCCCACUGUCAGAACAUAGUUAGUAGACAGCGGUUGCGCCUCUGCCCACUUUGAGACAUAAUCCACUUUGAAAUGUUACAUGUACGUUGGCAGUUGAUUUUGGGCUUUAAUCUGAAUUCUGUGAAUUUUGGAAAUUGGCUGAUCAAUGGACAGUCACAGGCAUGACAGUCAGUCUAUCACGGGAAAGGUUGUCAGACAGACCACGACCGUUGUCAGCAAACAUUCAUGGGCGUGACCACUGGAAGAUCAAGGGCUUGACCAUCAGGAGGUCAUGGUUGUGACCAUCAGUAGGUCACGGGCAUGGUUUCUAUGUGGCCACGGGUAUGGUGGUAAGUUGGACAUGGGCGUGGUGGACUUAUUAUAUAAGGACAGUUGCAACUUACAACUCAGAAUUACUGAAACCUAAGAACUUUGAAUCCCUCUGCAAAUGGCAAUCAAUUUCAGGAGAUGGAGAAAUCCCAUUUGAUCUAAUCCCAAAUCAUUAGGAAAGGUCUAGAAAUCGUUGAGGAUGCUUCCAAAGCUACUCAAUCUUCUUCCUCCUUUCUCAAUCCUUGAUUGGAAAUCCUACGUAGGAAAUUCCUGACACAUUAGGAUUUGGGGUUUUCAGAUUUCAAUCCUAUGAAUUAAUCUCUACGGGUCAGACAGAACAUGAGGCUUGAUCUUGGGAAGGUAGCUUCAUAUUAGACUCUACUAGGAAAGCUAAUCAGAGGUGGGGGGUUAGGAUUUCUUUUCUGCUUUAAGUGUAGAACUGUAAUUAGGAUUGUCAGGAAUCCGAUUAUUAGAUUCUCAGACUGUGUAGUAGCAUAUGAUUUAUUGUACAUGUGUUGUGAUUUGAAGGGCUCUCAAGACUGUGCAAUAGCGUGUGAUCUACUGUACAUGUAUUACGAUUUUUAGAGCCAAGCUCUUAGUAUUGUGCAGUAACGUGUGAUCUACUGUACAUGGGUUGUGAAACAGAGCCAGGCUCUCAGACUAUGUAGUAGCGUGUAAUCUACUGUACAUGCAGUUGUUUAAUUUCGAGCAUAAGCUCAUGGUGAUUAAACUAUGCUUGUGAUUCACAGUUCAUGUUAGGACAGGAUCAUGUUUAGCUAGAUUAGCUCUCGAUAUGCAUUGGUCACCCGCCCAUGGAUUGCGCAAUCCCUUAGGUCAUGUUCAGGCUCAUGUUGGACGUGUCGAGUAUGCCUAUAGAUGCUGCUCACACGGUUUUCAGGAUGGUUUCAUAGUUUGAUCCACCAUGAGGCUAUCUACCAUAGCUAGGGGUGGUUGUUGUCAAGAUGAUGCCUACAACCUGUGAGUAAUGCAUGGGUCGAACCAUGUAGUUCGAUUGGGUCUUCUAGGGGCGUGUUUCACGGUAAUCUUCUAUAUAUGUCCCGAAAGCAAGGAUGGUGGCUAUCUCGGUAAACCACUAGCGCUUGUAGAGGUGAUGAUCCGAGACUUCCUUUGCUUCUUCCAAGAGAAAUAAUUGAUCAUCCAGAAAGAGCUCAUUUAUCUCUGCUUCAGCGAAUCGACCCAGAGAAGGCCCUUCAAGGUGCGAUAGGUGGUUAGCUGCAACGUUCUCUGAUCUCGCCUUGCCCUUAAUAGUCAUGUCAAACUCUUGAAGGAGUAGCACCUAGUGAAUCAAUCUCAAGUUCCCAUCCUGUUUAGCUAUAAGAUACUUAAGAGCAAAAUGGUCGCCGGAAUCUGGGCAGAGGUCGCCAGCGGUAACGGCCUCACUAGAGAAGAAGGGUGACCUCCCCACAAUCAUGAGGAGUUCAGUGACCAGAUCUGCAAAGUCUGAAAGAUAAGUUGCUGUUGUGCAUUUGAAUAUUCUAAAGUCUAGCUUCCGUAGCUCUGAAGUUUUGGAUGGUUUACAGUUAUGGACCUUGGUCAGAUUUUUUAUCAUUUGGAAGUUCUAGAUCAGUUAGUGUAAUGGAGGUCAUUAGAGGACUAGAGUAACAUUUAUGUCCUUAAAAUUUUCAGAUUAUUGCAAAUAAGUAAAUGGAGAAGAACUCGGUCGUUUGAGCUCCAAAUGACGCACGGUUAGAACUUACGGAUUUAUGGCAACGAGAGAAAUCAUGCCAAGUUAGGAUCAAAGGUGUCAGAUCUUCUUAACAGGUGGGGGUUUAGGAUUACAUUCUGCUUAUAAGCUUAGAACUAUAAUAGGAUGUUAGGGAAUCCGAUUAUUGGAUUCUUCAUGUGAUUCAGAGCAAGGGCUCUCAGGAUUGUACAAUAGCGUGUGAUCUACUGUAUAAAUGUUGUGAUGUGAUUCGGAGCAAGUGCUCUCGGACUAUAUAGUAGCGCAUAAUCUACUCUAUAGAUGUUGUGAUGUGCUUUGGAGUGUGGGCUCUUAGGCUGUACAAUAGCGUGUGAUCUACAGUAGAGGCAAUUAUUAUAAUUCGAGCAUAAGCUCUUGGCGUUUGGACUGUGGCAUGUGAUUCACAGUUCAUGUUAGGAUAGGAUAGGCCUAGAUAGACUAGGUCACAAUUAUGAUACGUCGGGCACCCACCCAUGGAUUGCACAAUCCCCCAUGUUAUAAUCGGGCUCAGGCAGGACGUGUUGAGUAUGCAUACUGAUGCUGCUCAUACGGUAUUCAGAGUGGUUUUAUGGUCUGAUCUACCGUGAGGUCAUCCACAUAGCUAGGGGUGGCUGAUGUUAUGUUGAUGCCUACUGGACCAGAUGGUCACAUUACUAGAGUAGUGACUACAUAGAAUUCCAUGUUCUAUUCUUAGUACAGGUCAGUUUCAAUCUCAGUUCUACGCGAGUCCAGAUAGCCACUUAGUGUUUAUCACUAACUCUAUUAGAUAUUAUUUUCUCUGGUGUAUAUGUGUGUUCGGUCACAAGAACUGGAGCUGAUGGUGGGGAGAGAGCUAGUCGGAGUUUUGAUAUCACAUGAUAUAUGUUUUGAUGUAUUUUCAGUACUAGAGUUGCAUCUCCUUUUAUCAUGUUGUGAUUUGGGAUCCGAGAUCCUUGUUGGUCAAUUUUAUCAAAGUAUUUCGGUUCAACUUUUAAUGCUUGUUUUUGCUCAUUUAUUAGUAGUAGAGAGUAGAGGUUGGUUCAGCUUGGAACCCGAUAAGAUUUCUUGAUUGAACCAGUGGUUCGACCAAAACUCUUAGGGUGGGGUUUCAGAGAAAAUGUGAUAGUGAAAUAUACAUUUCCCAAAAAAAUUCAUCUUCCCACCGAUAAGUUUUGGCUAUUUUCGUAUUUUCAUAAUUACCUUUAUUUUAGAUUGUAUGAUUCAAUUCAUUACCAAUUGUCAGAUUAUGUUGUGACAUCAUCAUUUCUAUCAAACGAACAACAUUGGCUCCAUUUAUAGGAUUUUAUCUAUUGCAUAUAAGACUAUUGGAUCCAUUUUGAUUUGUAAAAGUGGGUCCUACUUCCAUCUCAUUUUGUUUUGAAAUUUUGCAUACUUCACUUUGAAAGGCUUCUCAUUAAUGCAAUUCAAAAACAUUUGCAAAAGUGGACUUACAUGAAUAAAAUGAUCAUUUCUUAUAUAUUAUUUUAUUAGCAAAUAAUGAUAUGAGAAGGCCCAAUCCAUUGGGUCUUGAUCAGAAUGGCACAACCUAUUAAAAAUACCUAUUUUGGCAUAACAUAAUUAUAAUUUUACAAAAUAAAAUAUUUAAUUGACUUUUUAAAACUCAAUACAAAAAACUAAAAAAAUAUCAAAGUUCAUCAUAUUCUUCUCCCACCACCAUCCUAUCUCCACUAUCUUCUUAUCAUCCCCAUCAUCCAUUGCUAAACCCAACAAUUACUUUCUCUAAAUCUAUCACUUACCAAAUCCAAAAUCAUAUUCAUUUGUACACACAACCAAGUAUGCAAAUUUUAGAUAUGAUUUGUGUUGGUUUUUUAGAUCUGAUUUUGUCGAUCUCGAAGGUGAAGAUGAUUGACGACGGGGAAGGGGACUCUAAUACCCAAAUAUGCUACUGGAGAAUAAUCCAUCUUUCCAGACUAUUGCAAUUCAUACCGCUCCUUGAAUACUUACAGAGAAAGACGGCGCAUCGAGCUCAAAAGGAGAGGGUAGCGAGCAAUCGAAGGAGAGUAGAAAAAGCCGUUGCAAGCAAAAGAGAAAUCGACCACCAGAUCUCCUAGGAUUCCUCAUCUGAGGAAGCCAUCAAGAGAUUUUUUCCUAUAAGUCAGUUCAGCUACUAAAGCUACAAGUGGUGAUGAUGAAUAAGCUUCCAUAAGUGGUUCGCUGGGUAUCUCUACUUUGACCUCCUUCAUGGGAGCUCCGUCGUCGCCGCUGGCGACCCUAAAAAAGAACAUGCAUUUAAACGCGUUUACACACUAAACUAAAAAGGAGAAUGAAAGACUAUAAUUGGAAUUUCAACAACAAGAGAAAGUUAACUUCUUUUUUCUAAUCCACCGUCGGGAGGAGCAGCAGCAAGCUUCGCCCGUCUUCUUCCCUUUUGGGAUUUUUUUGAAUUAAUUAAGAAUUUUAUUAAUUAGAAGUUUAAAAUUAUAUGAUGUGGAGCCUAUAUUGAAGUCAAGUGGGAGGUACGUCAGGGGUGUUAAGUUUGACUGUUAAGUUGAUGGUCAAAUUUCAAAUAUGUGCCACAAUAAGUAUUUCUAAUAGGUUAUGCCAUUCUGGGUUUAGACCCAAUAGGUUGGGCCUCCUUAGAUCAUUAUUCAUUUUAUUAACUACAUAUAUGUUAUAAAAAUGUAUAAGUGACAAGUGGGUCUCAAAUGAUUAAAAAAUAUAAAUGAAAAAAUGGGCCACAAGUGAGAUUAUCACUUUGACUUGGAACGAGUACAAAUUUGCACUUAAAAUGAUCCUUUCCCAUCAAUAAUAUUCUCAUUUAAAUUUAAAAAUUGCCACAUAGGCUCCAUGUUACUUAACAAGUAGGGAAAAUCUCAGUGAUAAGAUGCUAUAAUAACAAAUAAUCUUGAGGCCAAAUCCAAUAACUGAGCAUGCCUUCUACAUGUCGGACUCCACCAUAUAAACACGGCCCACGUUAUAAUUGAUUCAUUAAAAAAAAGAAACAAUUUGAUGAAUUGAUGAAAGAAGCGAAAGGCAAAAGAUGGAAAUUGUCGUUUCUCUUCCUAAAACUAGGGUUUUGUUUCUCUCACUAAAAUUAGGGUAUCUCUUCGUCAUGAAGACUUCCUACACCCCCAUCGCCAUCAUGCUCAAGCACAAACCUACUCCUAUCAUCAACAAACCCAUCCCACCUACCGAUGUUGUCAUCAAAACAAGACCGACCCUUACUGCACCCAUGGCCUCCCUAUCGUUGAAGGAGAGUCAUGGCUCGGAGGACCUGACCGGAAUGACAUGGCUGACGAUUGGAUACCAGAGCUGCAGCAAUCUGGAAAGCCCCACAAAGAUUCUCCGCCGACAAAGACCAGCAGGUCAACACUAAGGAGAGGCGGUGUUCCUCCGAUCUUCGAGCUACAGGGGAGCGAGACGACUCUACCCCAUACACCAUAGUGACAUCGCCGGUGUGGACAUCCGAUCAUUCCAUUCAAAGCUCAUGAAGAUCGGCUACACUUGUGUUUGGCUUUCUUUAUUUUUGUUUAGUACUCUCUUUUUAGACAUUUGGUUGAUUUUCAGUCGUACGUUGCACUUCAUUUGUUUCCUUCCUUGAGUCGGGGUAUAGUUUUGUUAAUUUUUUUGUUUAUUUCGUUGCAUCUAAAACCGUUGAUGGUCGAAGAGAUUAAAACUGUAAAUAAAAUAUUCAAUUACCUACUUUCCCCUUACAUCUUUUCUAAAAAACAACUCUCAAUUGCAUUUCUCAUGGUCAAUGUUAUAUCACGCCUCCCUCUAUAAAGAAAUUAUAUUUUGUAAAAAAAAAAAGCGAAAGGCAAAAGAUAUCGCGAGACCUAGUUCUAUAUAAACCCAUUCCAUUCGCAGGUUACGAGCGGCCGUCAUCGCUGUCACAGGGCCAGAUAUGGGAAGCGCUAAAGCUGGCAAACCCUCAAAGAAGUCUCUCAGAAACCCUAAUCCGCUUCGCAUUACCCAUAGGAAGAUUACGAAGCACAAACGGCAAGACAUUGCUGUUGAUACAGUUCCCACCGCCCUGAAGUAGAAACACAACCUCAUAUCGGAGAAGAGGAGCCCCUUCCUUCAGCUUCCCAGCAACUCAGCUUUUUCCUCAGCAAGUUCCAGUCAGCUAAUGGUCUUCAAGGUUAGUCUCUACCGCUGGAGCUCCACAAUAUUGUAUCCCAUGACAUCUCUAUUUGGUUGCUGGACAGAGGGAUUAUUAACAAUUUGUGUAUUGUAUUUGCAGAAACAUCCUUUAUUCAGUUAUUUUGAGAGCUGCCUCAGGAUGUUGAGGGCCUAGGCCAGCAUUUGAAGACUGCUUUCGGAAAGUCAUGGAAAGAAGAACGCUGUGAUCGAAAGCUCGUGGAUAGGUAAACUGAACCAGAGAGUCCUGCUGCUCUUUUCAUUUCUACAUCUGCAUUGAGAGCAAUAGAACUUUUAAGGUAUAGAUUCUCUCAGUUCUUGUUAAUGAUCUUUGUUUUGCUCGAUUUAAUCAGGGUUUGGGCUUGAUUCAAUCUUCUUCUUUUAGGGGUGUGCGUUCACUGAGCGUUCACUGACGAAAGAAUGCCAUGCUGCAAAGCUCUUCUCUAAGCACAUGAAGGUUGAAGAACAUGUGAUAUCCUUUCCCUUUUGUCACUUGUUGUUCCUAUUACAUCGUUAAACAAAAUACUAUCUCUUUAUGUUUCGAGGUGUUGUCAUUUGUUUUGGAUAUCAUUCAGUUCCUUUUAUUAUUACUGCUGCUCGAGUUACGAACAUCUGAGGAAAUAGCAAUGCUUAGGAUGUUAUUGUCCACUUCACUGUCUCGAGACACCGACAUUGUCUUUAGUUAUUAUUUAUGGGUCCAACAAGUUAUGACUUGAACCAUGGUCACAUGGAACAAAAUUAAUUUAUAAAUUCGGACUUCUGUUUCAUCAGUGACAUUUUCACUCUUCGUCAUCAUAUACAUUUGGUGUUUGUUUGUUUUUGGUAAAAGGAUUUGAUAUUACCAGUUAUAAAGAUCAAAGGGCAGUAGCAGUGCAGGAUAAGCUUUUUUCACAUCAGUCUGCUUCUAGUUCAGUAUCUUAGUUUCAAUGAUUUAUGGCUGGAAGCAUGGAGCAGUAUGGAAUUUUUGCAAACAAUUGUUGGAUUAGGAAUUUCAUACUUCUUUUCACUGCAUUUUGAUGUUGGGAUAUGAUGAGUUACACGGAUCAAAUGCUCUAGCAGUGCUGAAUAUGUUUUUUGCACGUCAGUCUGAUCCCAACUUACCGUAUUUUUACUGCCCCUACCUUUAAAUGCAUGUCCGAGUUCUAACAAUAGAUGACUUGAGACAUGGAGCCUAUGAAUGGGGGUUCUCUGUUUGAUUUUAUGACAUUUUACAAUAAUUGUCACAAAUUUUUUUGACAUUGGAUAUGAUGAUGAGUUAGAAUCAAAGGCACUAGAGAUGCUGAAUAUGAUUUUUUGCACGUCAGUCUGAUCCCAGCCUUUCGAUUUCUGAUUACUGGAAUUUAAAAUUUUACUUUGUUUUCGUCAUUUUGACAUUGGGAUAUGAUGAUGAGAUGUAGAUCAAAGGCAUUAGCGGUGCUGAAUGUUUAUUUUGCACGUCAGUCUGAUCCCAGCUCACUGUUCCGAGAUUGUGCUGCCUUCUUGCAUUUCCUAGUUAAAAAAAUGUACUCCUUGGACAUGGAUCUAAACGAACUUCAAAAUAUGAAUGAUUAAGAUUUCGUGAUCAGUGUCAUUCAUAGUUUAUGAUCACUAAUUUAAAUCUCGUGGCAUAUCUUGCAGGGUGUUUAUAGCCAAUUAGAUGCCACACUCACUGAAAGCUUAACUUACGAUUUAGGUUCUGGUUGUGUAUCCCCCCCCCUGUCCACCGCCUUUAACCUUGUACUUCUAAGCAAUUGAUUGUAUUUCCUGAAUAAUGGCUACAUAUUUCGUAAUUGUUCAUGCUCUGCUGAUUAUAUUUUUGCACGUCUCUGUUCCUAAUAAAACUGCACACUAUUUUACGAAAAAAGACGUGCACGCUAAUAUCGUACACCAAUGUAAUAUAACACUAUUAACAACAAAAAGUUCUUAGUACGGGUUCAAUGUCAUCAUGCAACAUCCAUGAUGCCGUUCCUUAGUCUCUCUACGUGACUCUGUGUUGCAUUUGGUAAACUAUUUCUUAAACUUCUGGCUCCGUUUACUGCAGGUCACUUUCUUCAAGAAUCGUGUCAAUAUUGCCAGCGGCACACCAAACAGGUUAGUCACCAGUCAUUUCAUCUCGAUAUUGAUGUUACAAUGGGUCGUUUGGAUGAGGUAUUUGAAAGUGGUAUUUUGGCUCAAGUAACUCAAACUAAAGUUAUAACUGAGUUAUUUGGGCCAAAACACUUCGUUUUCCAUCCGAAAUAAAAGUCGUUAUAUUUCAUAACUGUGAUAUUUGAAAUAAUUAUGGAUGUGAUAUUUGAAAUAACUCAAUUUAAAACCAUAACUCAAAAUGAUAGCUAAACGAAUAAUUCUUAUCCCCCAAAUUCUUACAACUGAUCCAAACGAUUAAUGUUUACUUGCUCAUCCUUUUCGUUCUAGCUGAAUAUUUGCAUUUCCGAAAUAAUGCGCCCCACAUGAGUUCGGUAUACAUUGGUGAUUGCUUUUGCAAGUUUUCCGUGCAUGAAUUGUUGUGGUAUUCAUCAGAAAAUUACCAAUAGGAAAUAGUUAAGAGGUCGUAGAAAAUGCAUCGGGAGUGUCAUUUUAUAUUGUAGGGGCAAAAAUUGAUUUUGAUGAAUUUGAACUUUCUUGACUAGAUUCUUGAUAAAAAAAACUAUCUUGACUAGGUUGAAGAAGUUGAUAGAUAUAAAAGCAAUGGGGCUCUCGCGGUUUUAAAGUUAUCGUGCUAGAUGUCCACCAUGAUGUAAAGGGUUAUUCCUUGCUCACACUUCCACAAGGGGGAGAUAUAGAGAGAAUGUCCGGUCUCUUUUCAACACAGCGAGGAGCAUAGUCGAUUUUGUCAUGUGAAGAGUUGCUGUUGUACAAGUGUUAGUUUGUUAUUUUGACAGGACACUUUUUCAAUUAUUCAAAACUUAUAUUCUAGCUAAGCUAAGGGUAAAUAUCCAUUUUGUAAUUUCACUUGUUGCUGCUUCUACCAAGAGACAGCACACAAGGAAUUAUACUCAUCGGCUUCCUGGCCGCAAUUGAGUUAAAUCUUCUUUUCGGCCCCUAGCGUUUAAAAUAAAAUAAAUCUUUCACCGGCUACCUUCAAAAUCCUCUGUUUAUCUUUCCUUUGAUCUUAUCAAAUUUUUAUAGUGACAAAGUUUGUGAAAUUACUUAAUAAAAAAAAGAAAAAAUUAUUAAACAAUUGCUAAUAUUUAGGCCCGACAUUCGAUAUAGCACAUGUUUUUUAUAAUAUUUUUUUUUGCCCAAAUUUCAAAUUAUGUUAAUUCCUUUAAGUUAAAAUUAACGGAUUGGUGACAAAUGCUGACAAGGCAAACAAUGUGUCUGAUGUGGAUGGAUGAAAAGAAGUCAAUCGGAAAUAAAUACACAGUCAACAUACAGUUAAAAAAUUUUAUAACAAAAACCACCCACAUUCCUUAUCCUCUUCGUCGACCAGCCUUUUAUCACCCACCUGUCACCUCCCUUCUAAAUUAAUUUUCAUCAGAUGGGGAGAAAGAGUGGAAGAAGAAGAAGAAGAAAGAAAGAUGGAGCAAGGUGCAUUUGAUUUGAAUCCCGACAAUGUCGACAACAAUCUUGUAUCUAAAUUCUUUGUCGAUUUGAAUUUCGAUGAUGCCAACAACAACCUCAUUCUUGAACUCUCCGUCGAUUUGAAUCCCGACGAUCCCAUCAACAACACCAUUCCUGAACUCUUCGACAAUUUGAAUCCCGACGAUGCUGAUAACAACCUCAUACCUGAAUUCUCCGUUGAUUGAAUCUCAAUGAUGCCAACAACGACUCUCUAUCGUUGUCGAUGAAAUGCCCAAGCUUGUGGAGAGAUGGAUACAGGGAGUAGUAGCAGGUACAUGUCCAAAUAUGGAUGUUGAGAAAUCCUCCUCGGCUGUCGAUUUCGAAUGGUCCCCACGUUUCAAAUUGAUUUUAGUGUUCUUGCUGGGAGUAGGUUUGCACGCGGCUGAGAUUGGGUUUAUCUGUUUGUUGCAAAUGAAUGAAUUGAAUUGGUUGGUUUUUUAUUGGGGGUGGGUUUUGCAAGCAAGUUGAGUUGUUUGAUUGGUUUGAAGUUUUUUUUGUCUUGAUUGGGUUUUGUAAAAAAUGCUAGCAGAAUACUGACAAUGGAGGAGAAGGUGGAGGAAGGAAAAAGAAGGUGGAGGAGAUGAAUGAUUUUUUUGGUAGCUGAGUUAUUAUUAUUUAAUGAAAGGAGGUAAAUAAAAUUUACCUAACUAAGCUGACGUGACCAGUGAUUGUUAUGUGGCGUCGGACAUGGUAUCUUGAUGAUUUUCUUCUUACGGCGUUUCGUGUUUGGUUAACUAUAACGGUCAACGACAAAGUCAACUGAUUUUCGUUAGUGUGAUUUGAAUUUUGUCAGAAAAAAAUGUAUUUCGGAAAACAUGUGCCAGAUCAUUUGUCGGGUUAAAACAUUGCCAAUUGUGUUAGCUAAUUUUUCCUAAAAUAAGUUAGUGACAUUUUAUCAAGUCGAUCUACACUACAGGAAACUAGAUGUUUAACAACAUCAUUUUUUCUUGUUGACGACAACCAUUUCCUGUUGUUAUGUAUCAUAACGGCGGCUUUGAUUGCGCUAUUAAGAUUGCCAAUGCAAAGAGAUCCUACCAGCGAAAUAUUGGCCGCGGUUAAGUGGGGAAGCGUAACAGCGAAUAGCUGGCCGCUGUUAGGUUGCAUCCUAAUAGCGAAAUAUGACCGAUGUUAGACGAAAUUCUAAUAGUGGCAUUGUGUCCGUUGUAAGGAUUUCGCCUAACAGCAACUACAUAUCCUCAUAGUUUUCUUAUUAUUUUAUUUUUUUCGUUUGGCUAUUUUCCAUAUAUAUCCAACUUGUUCAAGUAAUUUUUUCGAUAGGUAGAUAGAAAUACAAAUUUGGGAAACACUUUGCUAAAUAUAAAACUAGUCAUUUUGAUUAAAUAUUUGAUUGUUAGGACACAUACUAAUUCCUUGGCUUAAACUACACCAUCCUUCUAAAGUAACUACUUGAUUCAUAGUUGUUCAUCCAACAUGUACAAUCCACUAAACAUAGACUACUCCUCUUGGUCGUAAUCAAGCUCAUCGUCCCUCUCAUUUGUUUCCAUCAUAGUGCUCGUUCACAUUUGUUUGCAUCAAAUGGCUGCCAUCAUACAUUUGGAUUUAGAACAUCUGCCUCAUCUCCUCCAAAUCAUGAGAUAAGCCAACUUGAGAGUUGGCAAGAUGAGCUAUACACCUACAAUACACCAAAUAAAAGUUAGUUUUUUUAUCCAAAAAAAUUUGCAUGACCAAUUCGAAUUCACGGUUUAACUUAUACUCUUUGAUCUACAAAAUGAACAAACGAUACUAGAUUUGGAAGGACAAGUUUCGACAGCUACAAUGAAUCAAGGAAACCUUUUACAUCUACAUUAUCAAAACAUAAUUGCAGAAUUAAAAGUAUAAACCAUGAGUAAGGUUGAAUGAUAAAAUUUUCACUAUUUAGAGGUGUCGGUUAAAAUGUGCAAAUUGGAUAAUAAAUUUGCAUGGGAAGGAUGAUUAUGUAGAUUACGUAAUAAACUAACAAAUACAUAUAUACUUAUGAUUUGAAUGGGACUUGUAAGUUAAAAUUGGAGGCGCCCCUCUUAAUUUGUACCUAUUGUAUGUUCACUAACCACCCAUAAUAAAAACAAGCAAGAAAAAUUGGAUUUGGUGGAUCACUCGAUGAAGAAACAAGAUUCGAAACUAGCCCUCAUAACUUGAUUAGGUGAAGUUUCUACCUAUAACAGUCCAACUUAGUGGUAGAAUUAAUUUAGGAUUAAUGCUGAAAAAUACAAAUACUUAUUCAUUUUGCUUUCACUCUAAAUCCUAAAUGGCGCACCACUGUUCCUGACUUCUCUUUUUUGUUCUUCGAACGUAUACGAUAUGCCCUCGCCAUAGCAUCCUCCUUGCUAACCCCAUGUUAGUAUUUGGUUCCUUCAUAAACUGUUUGACUUCAACCUAUAUUCAAUCUCAAAAUCUUAAAUAUAUUAGAAUUGCAUCUUAUCAACAAAAGGUCAAAACACAAUAAAAUUAUAUGCAACUUACAUAAAAGUCUCAAGUAACAUAUGUUUCAUCUUCUCUUUCAUAACACUUGAAAAAGAACUCAGAUCUUCUUACUUCUUUUCCUUUCGCUUUCUUCUACAUUAUACGUUCUACAAUCAAUACAAAUUAACUUCUCAUGACUUUUGGAACAUAAUAUAAAGACGAUUGAUGAGAUGCUUACUUACCAUCUCUUCACGAAUUAUAUUGAAAGGUUUUGACCCUUUCGUAUGAUAGAUGUCUUGAUUAGAACGAUACCUUGUUUCUUUGCAGAUGCAGUCUAUAAAACUGCUAGUAAUUGACAAAUGACAAUAAUAAAUAUCAUUAUAUCAAAUAUAAGUACAAAUGUAAAACUUACUAGAGUUGGCUUCCCCUCCUAUAUCUGCAAAACAUAUCCCACUCACGUUCAUCAAUAUUUGGUGGUUUCCUGUCUAAGUUGAGCUGAAGACCUUGAGUAGCAUCGAUAUUUGGUGGUUUCCUAUCACGUUCAUCGAUACUAAUCAAUUUUCUUUGGAUAUGACUAAUGUAAUGAAGAAGAUAGAAGAGAUUAAAUCUAAAACCCUUAUGAUUACCCUGCAUUCAUAAAGACUGCAAUGCAAUAUGUACAGAGAGGCGUGGACACAUAGCAAAGUCCUUACAAUUUUGACAAUUACCAUCCAAUACAAUUUUGUAAGCUACAGCUAACAUUCAUGAGCUAAUAAGUUUUGUCAGGUCGGUUACGAAAGAAAACACACUUAACUUCAUAAACAAUAAUAAAUUAUGAAAACCCCCAAAUCAAAGUUAGGGCUCAUCUAAAUCAUUAACAAAUCAUACAAACUGAUUUCAAUCUCAAAAUUAAACUUAGACCCAGCACUAUAAAUAAGAUGUCUAACCUAAAGCUAGAACAAAACACUUCCAAUUCACUAAACGGAAAACAUUUCAAAGAUCUAGAUUUUACUAACCUUUCAAUUUUCUUGCUAACACAAGAUGACUGAUUGAGAUGAUGGACAGGAACCAAAAUGAGCCGCAGCUGGAAGGCCGGAGCAAGCGACGCCGGCACGAAGAAGAAAAACGCCAGCGAACGGCCGUUGGUGAAGAUACUAUCUGGCUGUGUCCUUUGUUCAAUUUGGGGAAAGUUGGGUUUUUACGUGGUGUUGGGGGGUUAUAUGUAUUUGGAGUUUCGUUUAUAUUAAUAUAAUGAAGAAUUAAGUCUCAUUUUGUUUGGGGCUUUAAAUUAAUAACCCAACGUCGGCUUGAUUCUCUACAUAGCCGCUGAUAGGAUUACUCUUAGCAGCUGCCAUCUAAAUAAGAGCCACUGUUAAGUUGUUGUAUUCCAUCAUAUUUUUUAAUUAUUAUCCUAACAUCGGCCAAUAUUAAUCAGGGCCGAUGUUAGGUAGUAAUAACGUAUCAGUAGCCUUCCAUUUAUUGUUAGGAUAUUGACCUAACAUUGAGACCAUGUCCGUUGUUAAAUUUUGUAUGUUAAAAUAUCCUAACUGCAGGUCUAUGUGGCUACAGUUAAAUUGGCAAUAUUAGGUAGUCAGUUUCUUGUAAUGCUACCUUGUUUAUCAUAGAAAAUUUGUUAUGACAAACGUGAUUGUUGUUGUUACAUAACAACACUCUAAUUUUCCAUCUAUUUUUAAUUUUAAAAAUUUGACAGUCUUAAUUUGUUGAAUAUUUUUAAUCUUUUUUACAUUUUUAUCUCUCAUAAAUAUGUCCUAAUUUUUAGUUAAAGAAUCCUCAUUCAAUUUCUAUUUCUAUUUCUAUUUUUUUACCUAUAUUUAAUUAAGUUAAUAACUUAAUAUUUCCUUAAUUGCUUUUUACAGGUUGUCAACGGAGUUCUGGUACUCCCAACAAGUGAGAAGAACGAUCAGAUUAGUAACAGAGCACAAACAAAGGUACAAAAUAAAUUACCAUAUCACAGUCUCAGGUAUAUAACUCCAUACAAUAGCACAUUCAUGGGUACAUAACUAGACAAAAAUUAAUCAAAAAUUGAUACUUCAAUACACGAGGUAUAAAAUGCAGUACCAUAUCACAAACCCCUUUUUUUUUUUUUUUUUUUUUUUUUUUUUUUUUUUUUUUUUUUUUUUUUUUUUUUUUUUUUUUUUUUUUUUUUUUUUUUUUUUUUUUUUUUUUUUUUUUUUUUUUUUUUUUUUUUUUUUUUUUUUUUUUUUUUUUUUUUUUUUUUUUUUUUUUUUUUUUUUUUUUUUUUUUUUUUUUUUUUAUUUUUUUUCUUUUUUUUUUAUUGUCUGUUUUUUUCUUUUAUCCUGUUUUUCUUCCUUUUCAAGAUCUUGAAAAGAGAGAGAAAAUGAGAGAGAGAGAAUGAGAAAGAGAAAACGAGGGAAAGAGAAUGAGAGCAAGAGAGAGAGAGAGGAGGAGAAAUUUUUGGAGUUUUUUUAUUUUUAGUGGCUUUGAUAUUGAAAAUACUAUAUAAAGAAUUUUAGAUGAAAUCAGUCAGUUGAUACAAUUAUUGUUGUUAUGUGCUAUUAUCGUAUGAUAAGCGGGUGGGGCUUUUCUUGUUUUCGUAAACAUCAAGAUUUUAUUGGUUGGGUCUAUGAUUCCAGCCUACAUGAUACUCAAAAGGGCCCUGGUUCAUCUGGAAAUGAAAAGUGCUUUAUGAACGUUUGGAUUGGUGCUUCCUUGACUCGGUUUGGUAACUUCAAUUUCUACCCACCUAUAUCGUGUUAAGUCGGAUCACCGACCUAUUUUCAUGGUUGCGACCAAGCUCAAGAAGUCAAAUCUUCCUCAUACCUUUCGCUUUAUGGCUUCAUGGUUGUCACAUGUUGAGUUUAAGCCUUUUUUUGUCGGAAUGGAAUCGGUCUUUUACCUUUAUUCAUCAGAUGUCCAUUCGAGCUACCAAACUGAAAAAAUGAAAUAAGGAAAUUUUUGGCAACAUCCAAACGAAUAGAAGGAGCUUAUCUUUAAACUUGCUGAUGUUUAAGCUCUCGCAGCUCCUCUACUCAUUCAAGACACCACAAUGGACAUUGCAAGUGACCGGAAUACUCAUUUUUUUCACGUAUCCACCUUCCGUAGGCGUGCUCGGAACCACAUUAUUAAGUGAAGGAUGACUGUGGGGUGUGUAUUCAUUAGGUUUGGGAGUCGGUUAAUUUGGUUAAUAACCAUCGGUUAAUGGUCGGGAAGCGCUUUGAUGAUUGAAAUUAAUUAACCAAAUUAACCGACCGAGCAAAAGCCACGGUUAAUCUUACCGACCGAUAACCGACCAAUCAGUUAAAUGAUCGAUUAUUAACAGACUGACUCUCGGUUAACCGUUGUAACCGGCUCUGACCAAUUUAACUCUCUUCUCAUAUUGCAACAAGAUUCUAGGCUCUGGCUCUAGAUCCGUCGUCGAUUCAAGCCUUGGAGACCAUAGCUUCUCUUCUGGAAACAAUCCGGUGCUCUACAACUUGAUCCUUCGGGACUGGAAGCUUUCCGAGACGGCGUUGUUGCGGAUCAGUAAGGAGAGGAGGAAGCUUCAAGCCUAUGGUGUUGCAGAUCGAAGAAUUGAGAGAGUGGAGGAGGAGAGGAUUGGCCGUGGCGACGAAGGAAGCAUGUGGUGUUGCAGAUCGAAGAAUCGAGAGAGUGGAGGAGGAGAGGAGCGCUUGCGGUGACUCGUCGUGGUCGUCGUCGUGACUGCCGGCGAGAUGCUGAAAUUGAAUCGCUUGGAUUGAUAGAGUUGUCGAGAUGGAUUGAUGGAGUUGUCGAGAUGGAUUGAUGGAGAUGGCUCGGAGUUAACCUAAUUUCAGAAUGAGAGGUUGUGAUGGAGUGGGAGGCUGGGAGGGGAGGGAGCGAUUCUGCGAUUGUGGUGAGCAAAGCUUGAUUUCCUAAUUGGGGACCUUGGUUUUUUUAAUUACCGGUUAACGUUGGUUAACUCGAGUUAACCAACGAUUUUACCCUGCUCCAACAAGUACUCCCAACUGUUCCCCGACCGACCCCUACCUCGGUUAAACCGACACUCUAACCGAGUCGAUCAGUUCAUCUGUUUAACCUAUUAACCGAGACUGAUGGCCCACCCUUAGUAUUCAUCCAGCUUGUUGCUGCAAUUAGUGUCGUAUUGAUAUGGUUGAGAGAGGAUAAAAUAUGCUUGAUUUCAAGUUCUCCAACUUGAAAGGUUUAGCUGUUAAAAAUGUAGAGGUCAUGACUGAGUACUGAUUUCCAGCAAGGAGAAGUUGGAUAUUUGCUUGCGAUAAAAAAGAAUUUGGACAGUCUAUCUUAGGCACAAAAUCUAACGGAUGAGAUGGCAACUUUACUUCAGGGGCCUAUUGGUCAUUUUAAAAUUUUCUUGUUUUUCAGUUUAUUUUUCCAUUCUGUUUAAUAUUGGUUCAAGUAAAAUGAUUUCUUGUAAAUUGGGUCUAUUGAGUAACGUGGGUGGGUAGACUUUAUUGCUCCCAUCGAGCUUGACGUGAUAUUUUCUUCUUCGUUUCUUUAACAUGCAUAAAUUGUAUAUAAUACGAAAGGUUGGAAAUAUAUGUGAAGCUCGAGGUUUAUUAUAUAUGUUUCGAGGUUUAUUAUAUAUGUUGAACCUUUUUGCCAAUUGGUUAUUUUUAUCAUGUAGUGCCUUAUCAAGUAAAGGGAAUGGUUGUUUUUAUCUACUGUCACUAGCCAACUUUCUUUCUCAUGUGAUCAAUUAUUUGAUCACGCAUGAAUGACUACAGUACACAAAAGAUAGAAAUAUUAUAAAAACAAAAAACAAAUAUUAAAAAAAAAUACCUAAAAAGCAGGUACAUAACAACAAAAACAAUAACCGUAAAUAUCAAGUACAUGAAAGCGGAUGCUCAAAAUAAGCACGCACACAUUAAAAACUUUGGUACAUACAAGGCAAGAAAAUCGAGAACAUAUUGGAACUCGAGUACCGGAAUUGGUACGGUAUUAAGUACAACGUGAAGAAAUAUCAAGUACAUUAAAAAGCGAGUAUAUAACAAUAGAAAUAAGUACACGAAAACAACUCAGAGAAAUGAUAAUUUGAUUGCCAAAAUUGAGUAUGAUAAAGUAAAAUGCAAGCACGUAGUACAUGAAACAAAUAUGAGUAAGAGUACAUAAAUUUUUUAGUACAAUACAAGACAAAAACUCAAAUACAUAUAAAAACUGGACACUAAAAAAAAUAAUUAAUUAUUCACAAUUUUAAAUAAUAAUAGUCACGAUUUUUAUCAUGAUUAACAGAAGCUAGUCACGAAAAUAAAUCCGUAACUAACCUAACCGAUGCUAGAUGAACUUGUCACGAAUCUGAAUAACCUGUAACUAAGUUGUCACCGAAAUUUUCCGUGACCAACUCAUCACGGAAGAAACCGUGAACAUAUGUGUUUUUGUUUUUGUUUUUUAAAUUAGUGGCACGGAGCCAUAUGCUGUGAUAAUUGAUUUAUUAAUAAAUUAAUCCCACAUCUCCGUGGCUACUAUAUCACCAGAAUUUCCAGAUUCCGGCAACCACAAUUUCCAGAAUCCGGCAAUAAGAUAGAGUUGAUAAUUGCUUUUUUAUUAGAGUAAAAUGUUCUACAUCUAUACAUUAUGAUACCCAUAUCAAAAUUCCAGAAUCCCAAAAUUGAACAUAACGUCAACGAAAGGCACCAUGCAACAAUGGUGACACUAAGGGUUACAACAACCAGCAAAACCGAAACACAGACUGGAAAUGCUACCAAGAGAAGGAUGAGACUAGAUGAUGAGAUUGAGAUUGAGAGAAGAAAAAUGAUAGUAAGAAAUUUUGUUUUCGAGAGAGAUCAAAUGAAGAUGAGAUCUACUUCUAAUUUAAUAUAAUGGAAAUGGAGAUAUGGUUGUUUAAUGGCAAAGAGAGAAGAAAGGAAUAGCCCAUUAAACGAGGAUAGAGUCUGCAUCAUUUCUUUUUUCGACCUUUUCCCACUAAAAUGCUAAUUUUAAAAUUAUAAAUAAAAGUUGGUCACGGUUCCAACAUUUACCGUGAGUAGUUGGUCGCGGUAUUCAACAAUCCAUGACUAGUUAUGGAUUUUUUUUUAUCUAUAAGUAGUUAGUCAUGGUUUUUAAAGCCGUGAUUAAUAAAUCGUGAUUAAUCGUUGAUUUUUUUUGUAGUGCGAGUAUGAGUAUUGAGUAAAACGUCAUGUACAAAAACAAGUACAUCAAAAGCGAGUACAUAAUUAUCAAAACAAGUACUAAAACGAGAGGAAAAGUACAUAAAAAGCGAGUAUAUAAUAAUAGAAACAAGUGCAGUAAAAAUCAAGUGCAUGAAAGGAAAACGAAACUCAAACUAAACACUAAUACAAAAAAAACUUUAGUACGCAAAUAAGUAAAUACAAGAAAAUUAACAUACACAAACGAAUACAUAAGAGUAUAGUGUUUAAACAAAGCGAUUAUACGGAUCAAUACGAUGUUGAGUACAAAACAACAACUUGAGGCUUUAUCCCUCAUUUUUAGAUGAUUUUGUACUAAGUUCUUAUAUGUAUUAGUUUUUAUUAAUGUAAUCCCUCGUGUACUUUGUCUUUGGAUUUAUUUUUAUGCCAUAUCUAUUUAUUUACGCAUUUGUGUAUACUUAUAUUUUUAGAACUUUAUACUCAAAUCAAUUAAUCAAACAAUAAAACUAUUUUCUCUUUACACGAACCAACAUAAUAACCCAUCACCCCAUACAGGGUUGUGAAGGAGGUGCAGUGACCAGAAUUUUCUAGUUGUUGCUUUUCUAUAGUUUGAUAAGGGUAAGCAUCUUGUUCUAGAAUAUAUGUUGUUAGGUUAUAACAAUGCAUCUAGUUGAGCAUGAUUCUUUGGUCAAGUGUUACUGGGAUUCUUUUUGUUCCACAUCAAUGCUCGGAGGUCGAAGAGGCAACGAGGGUGACGAAGAAAUCGGCAUCACCACGUGAGAGAAGAUGAAGAAGAGGUCAGAGAGUGGAGCCGGUGGAAAAGAUAUACUAGAAGAGGUACUUAAAGUUACUUGUACGACAAAACUGCCCUUAUUCAAUUGGACAACCCCUAGAUUAAAAUUUAAAAAUGAACGGACGCGAUUCGUUUGCGGCCAGCAAACACAUAAUAUCAUGGCUGCCUAUCCGGACUCGUCAUAACUGGCGUCAACAUUACGUAGUGUUGUCAAAAAUUAAAAAGGGGAAUAUAUAAUAAUAAUAAUAACAGACGUAAUCUUGUGUAUAUAAUGAUAUUAAAACGUUUUUCAAUCGACAAAGCCAAGUCUGCGGGAGGAACAGCUAAUGGACGAACAGCCUAAGCAUAAGCCGCCUUCUUCGUAUUCUUCAGAUUCUCUGAAUCUCUACCCUUUUUUUUU